rnacentral:rRNA from 1 species
GACGAACGCUGGCGGCGUGCCCAACACAUGCAAGUCGAACGGAAAGGCCCUGCUUUUGUUGCGUGCUCGAGUGGCGAACGGGUGAGUAACACGUGAGUAACAUCCCCUUGACUUUGGGAUAACUUCAGGAAAAUGGGGCUAAUACCGGAUAGGAGCUCCUGCUGCAUGGUGGGGGUUGGAAAGAUUCGGCGGUGUGGGAUGGACUGGCGGCUUAUCGGCUUGUUGGUGGGGUAGUGGCUUACAAAGCCUGUGAGGGGUAGCCCGCCUGAGAGGGUGACCGGCGACAAGGGGACUGCGGGACGGAGCAGUAUCCAAUGGGAGGCAGCAGGGGGGAAUAUUACACAGUGGGCGGAAGCCUGAGGCGGCGACGCCGCGUGCGGGAUGCCGGCCUUCGGGUGGUAAACCGAUUUCGCCGGUGACGAAGCGUGAGUGACGGUAAUGGGUAAAGAAGCACCGGCUAACUACGUG